AUCCUUUUCAGUUCUUAAGUGUGAUUAUUAGGUGUUUACACCACUAUGUAUCACACGCCUCCUUCAACCCUCAUUAUUGAUAUUACAUUUUCCAUCUGACA